UAUCCGUAGGUGAACCUGCGGAAGGAUCAUUAUUGUAUAACCGAGGUGCGAGGGCUUUCUCUAACCCUAUACUUCGUGCACGCCCGAGGGCCCUCCCAACCAUCCAUCUCACCCCUAUGUGCACCACCGCGUCGGUCCCCCUUUGGCUUGUUCGGAGUGGGGCUUACGUGUUCACACAAACUUUGUAUGCAGUGUAGAAUGUAUUUUUUGUUUUUGCGAUAACGAAAUAAAUACAACUUUCAACAACGGAUCUCUUGGCUCUC
rnacentral:misc_RNA from 1 species